GGACAGGUGGCCGAGCGGCUGAAGGCACCGGUUUGCUAAACCGGCGUACUGGUUAUACCGGUACCGCGGGUUCGAAUCCCGCCCUCUA
rnacentral:tRNA from 2 species